UACGAAGGGGGCUAGCGUUGCUCGGAAUUACUGGGCGUAAAGCGCACGUAGGCGGAUACUUAAGUCAGGGGUGAAAUCCCGGGGCUCAACCCCGGAACUGCCUUUGAUACUGGGGAUCUCGAGUCCGGGAGAGGUGAGUGGAACUGCGAGUGUAGAGGUGAAAUUCGUAGAUAUUCGCAAGAACACCAGUGGCGAAGGCGGCUCACUGGCCCGGAACUGACGCUGAGGUGCGAAAGCGUGGGGAGCAAACAGG
rnacentral:rRNA from 1 species